UACGUGGGGGCCGAGCGUUGUCCGGAGUUAUUGGGCGUAAAGCGCGCGCAGGCGGCCUCGCGCGCCCGACGUGAAAGCCCCCGGCUUAACCGGGGAGGGUCGUUGGGGACGGCGGGGCUUGAGGGCGGGAGAGGUCGGUGGAAUUCCCGGUGUAGUGGUGAAAUGCGUAGAGAUCGGGAGGAACACCUGUGGCGAAGGCGGCCGACUGGGCCGACCCUGACGCUGAGGCGCGAAGGCGUGGGGAGCGAACGGG
rnacentral:rRNA from 1 species